rnacentral:SRP_RNA from 1 species
GGGUCGGGAUAGGUGGGGAGCUCGGCGUACCCUGCAUCACAAAUCGUCGUUAUGGUGGACCGAACGCCUUGGGGCGGCGUAAGCGGCCGUGGGGUUCCCGUAGGCGGACGUUGAUGUCUCGCCCCCACAUGACUCGGGUGUCAUGAACCGUCUCCGGAAGGAAACGGGGAGUGAAUAACCGGGGGACUAGGUCAGGCCGGGAACGGAGCAGCCCUACCUGGGGCCAUGGGUGCUGUGGGGAUCCGGGAUGGAGGAAGCCUGCGGAUUUGGCCUUGCGAAGCGCACGUCCACCCUUGGCUCUCCCACCU